rnacentral:tRNA from 1 species
GGGGGUGUAGCUCAGUGAUAGAGCGCUUGCCUAGCAUGUGUGAGGCCCUGGGUUCCAUCCCCAGCACUGCAA